UUUUUUAAUAAUUAACAUACUUUAUGAAUUUUUUUUUCUCUUCUCAACUUCACUCACAACAAAAUUAAGGUAAGAUUUUUUUUUCUUCACACUUAUAUUUGGUUUUGUUUAUUUUAUUUUAUUUUUAUGUUCUUAAUAAUUGCAUGAAUGUUAUUGUUGGAAUUGUUUUUCUAAUUUUGUUGUUCAAUUUCAAUUAAAU
rnacentral:lncRNA from 1 species